GAUGAACGCUGGCGGCGUGCCUAAUACAUGCAAGUCGAGCGAACGGACGAGAAGCUUGCUUCUCUGAUGUUAGCGGCGGACGGGUGAGUAACACGUGGAUAACCUACCUAUAAGACUGGGAUAACUUCGGGAAACCGGAGCUAGUACCGGAUAAUAUUUUGAACUGCAUGGUUCAAAAGUGAAAGACGGUCUUGCUGUCACUUAUAGAUGGAUCCGCGCUGCAUUAGCUAGUUGGUAAGGUAACGGCUUACCAAGGCAACGAUGCAUAGCCGACCGGAGAGGGUGAUCGGCCACACUGGAACUGGGAAACGGUCCAGACUCCUACGGGAGGCAGCAGUAGGGAAUCUUCCGCAAAGGGCGAAAGCCUAACGGAGCAACGCCGCGUGAGUGAUGAAGGUCUUCGGAUCUUAAAACUCUGUUAUUAGGGAAGAACAUAUGUGUAAGUAACUGUGCACAUCUUGACGGUACCUAAUCAGAAAGCCACGGCUAACUACGUG
rnacentral:rRNA from 1 species